CAAGAGCGUAUCUUAAAAUUGUUGCAGUUAAAAAGCUCGUAGUUGAACCUUGGGUCUGGCUGGCCGGUCCGCUUUUAUGCGAGUACUGGACCCAGCCGGGCCUUUCCUUCUGGCUAGCCCUCGUGGCGAACCCGGACUUUUACUUUGAAAAAAUUAGAGUGUUCAAAGCAGGCCUUUGCUCGAAUAUAUUAGCAUGGAAUAAUAGAAUAGGACGUUAUGGUUCUAUUUUGUUGGUUUCUAGGACCAUCGUAAUGAUUAAUAGGAACGGUCGGGGGCAUCAGUAUUCAGUUGUCAGAGGUGAAAUUCUUGGAUUUACUGAAGACUAACUACUGCGAAAGCAUUUGCCAAGGACGUUUUCAUUAA
rnacentral:rRNA from 1 species